UCCUACUUUCCUAAGAAAUUAUCUAGGAUC
rnacentral:piRNA from 1 species